rnacentral:rRNA from 1 species
GCUUCUCUUGAUAGCGGCGGACGGGUGAGUAAUGCCUAGGAAUCUGCCUGGUAGUGGGGGAUAACGUCCGGAAACGGACGCUAAUACCGCAUACGUCCUACGGGAGAAAGCAGGGGACCUUCGGGCCUUGCGCUAUCUGAUGAGCCUAGGUCGGAUUAGCUAGUUGGUGGGGUAAUGGCUCACCAAGGCGACGAUCCGUAACUGGUCUGAGAGGAUGAUCAGUCACACUGGAACUGAGACACGGUCCAGACUCCUACGGGAGGCAGCAGUGGGGAAUAUUGGACAAUGGGCGAAAGCCUGAUCCAGCCAUGCCGCGUGUGUGAAGAAGGUCUUCGGAUUGUAAAGCACUUUAAGUUGGGAGGAAGGGCAGUAAAUUAAUACUUUGCUGUUUUGACGUUACCGACAGAAUAAGCACCGGCUAACUCUGUGCCAGCAGCCGCGGUAAUACAGAGGGUGCAAGCGUUAAUCGGAAUUACUGGGCGUAAAGCGCGCGUAGGUGGUUCGUUAAGUUGGAUGUGAAAUCCCCGGGCUCAACCUGGGAACUGCAUUCAAACUGACGAGCUAGAGUAUGGUAGAGGGUGGUGGAAUUUCCUGUGUAGCGGUGAAAUGCGUAGAUAUAGGAAGGAACACCAGUGGCGAAGGCGACCACCUGGACUGAUACUGACACUGAUGUGCAAAAGCGUGGGGAGCAAAACAGGAUUAGAUACCCUGGUAGUCCACGCC